rnacentral:rRNA from 1 species
CAAUAGCUCAAAUUUGAAAUCUGGCGUCUUCGACGUCCGAGUUGUAAUUUGUAGAGGAUGCUUCUGAGUAACCACCGACCUAAGUUCCUUGGAACAGGACGUCAUAGAGGGUGAGAAUCCCGUAUGCGGUCGGAAAGGUGCUCUAUACGUAGCUCCUUCGACGAGUCGAGUUGUUUGGGAAUGCAGCUCUAAAUGGGAGGUAAAUUUCUUCUAAAGCUAAAUAUUGGCCAGAGACCGAUAGCGCACAAGUAGAGUGAUCGAAAGAUGAAAAGCACUUUGGAAAGAGAGUUAAAAAGCACGUGAAAUUGUUAAAAGGGAAGGGAUUGCAACCAGACUUGCUCGCGGUGUUCCGCCGGUCUUCUGACCGGUCUACUCGCCGCGUUGCAGGCCAGCAUCGUCUGGUGCCGCUGGAUAAGACUUGAGGAAUGUAGCUCCCUCGGGAGUGUUAUAGCCUCUUGUGAUGCAGCGAGCGCCGGGCGAGGUCCGCGCUUCGGCUAGGAUGCUGGCGUAAUGGUCGUAAUCCGCCCGUCUUGAAACACGGACCAAGGAGUCUAACAUCUAUGCGAGUGUUCGGGUGUCAAACCCCUACGCGUAAUGAAAGUGAACGGAGGUGAGAACCGCAAGGUGCAUCAUCGACCGAUCCUGAUGUCUUCGGAUGGAUUUGAGUAAGAGCAUAGCUGUUGGGACCCGAAAGAUGGUGAACUAUGCCUGAAUAGGGUGAAGCCAGAGGAAACUCUGGUGGAGGCUCGCAGCGGUUCUGACGUGCAAA